rnacentral:tRNA from 1 species
AUUUAAAUAGUUUAAAUCUUUAAAAAUUUAAUAUUGAAAAUAUUAAGAUAAUUUGAUAAUUUUUAAAUA